rnacentral:rRNA from 1 species
GGCUCAGAACGAACGCUGGCGGCGCGCCUAAUACAUGCAAGUCGAGCGAGAAGGUGUAGCAAUACACUUGUAAAGCGGCGAACGGGUGAGGAAUACAUGGGUAACCUACCCUCGAGUGGGGAAUAACUAGCCGAAAGGUUAGCUAAUACCGCGUACGCCUCCCGGACUUCGGUUCGGGAGGGAAAGCGAUACCGUGGGUAUCGCGCUCCUGGAUGGGCUCAUGCCCUAUCAGCUUGUUGGUGAGGUAACGGCUCACCAAGGCUUCGACGGGUAGCUGAUCUGAGAGGAUGAUCAGCCACACUGGCACUGCGACACGGUCCAGACUCCUACGGGAGGCAGCAGUGGGGAAUUUUGCGCAAUGGGGGAAACCCUGACGCAGCGACGCCGCGUGGAGGAUGAAGGUUUUCGGAUUGUAAACUCCUUUUGCAGGGGAAGAUAGUGUGGGUAACCACUUGGACGGUACCCUGCGAAUAAGCCACGGCUAACUCUGUGCCAGCAGCCGCGGUAAGACAGAGGUGGCAAGCGUUGUUCGGAAUUACUGGGCUUAAAGGGCGCGUAGGUGGUGAAGUAAGUCCGGGGUGGAAGGCUGAGGCUUAACCUUGGAAUUGCCCUGGAAACUACUUUACUUGAGUCAGCGAGGGGAUGGCGGAAUUCCCGGUGUAGCGGUGAAAUGCGUAGAGA